AGUGAACGCUGGCGGUAGGCCUAACACAUGCAAGUCGAACGGCAGCACAGUAAGAGCUUGCUCUUACGGGUGGCGAGUGGCGGACGGGUGAGGAAUACAUCUGAAUCUACUUUUUCGUGGGGGAUAACGUAGGGAAACUUACGCUAAUACCGCAUACGACCUACGGGUGAAAGCAGGGGAUCUUCGGACCUUGCGCGAUUGAAUGAGCCGAUGUCGGAUUAGCUAGUUGGCGGGGUAAAGGCCCACCAAGGCGACGAUCCGUAGCUGGUCUGAGAGGAUGAUCAGCCACACUGGAACUGAGACACGGUCCAGACUCCUACGGCAGACAGCAGGGGGAGAUAUGGGACAAGGGGCGCAAGCCUGAUCCAGCCGUACCGCGUGGGUGAAGAAGUCCUUCGGGUUGUAAAGCCCUUUUGUUGGGAAAGAAAAGCAGCAGGUUAAUACCCCGCUGUUCGGACGGUACCCAAAGAAUAAGCACCGGCUAACUGCGU
rnacentral:rRNA from 1 species